rnacentral:rRNA from 1 species
UACAGAGGUCUCAAGCGUUGUUCGGAUUCAUUGGGCGUAAAGGGUGCGUAGGCGGCGCGGUAAGUCGGGGUGUGAAAUCUCGGAGCUUAACUCCGAAACUGCAUUCGAUACUGCCGUGCUUGAGGACUGGAGAGGAGACUGGAAUUUACGGUGUAGCGGUGAAAUGCGUAGAUAUCGUAAGGAAGACCAGUGGCGAAGGCGGGUCUCUGGACAGUUCCUGACGCUGAGGCACGGAAGGUCAGGGGAGCAAACGGG